GUGCCAGCAGCCGCGGUAAUUCCAGCUCCAAUAGCGUAUAUUAAAGUUGUUGUGGUUAAAAAGCUCGUAGUUGAACCUUGGGCCUGGCUGGCCGGUCCGCCUCACCGCGUGCACUGGUCCGGCCGGGCCUUUCCCUCUGUGGAACCCCAUACCCUUCACUGGGCGUGGCGGGGAAACAGGACAUUUACUUUGAAAAAAUUAGAGUGCUCCAGGCAGGCCUAUGCUCGAAUACAUUAGCAUGGAAUAAUAAAAUAGGACGCGCGGUUCUAUUUUGUUGGUUUAUAGGACCGCCGUAAUGAUUAAUAGGGACAGUCGGGGGCAUCAGUAUUCAACUGUCAGAGGUGAAAUUCUUGGAUCAGUUGAAGACUAACUACUGCGAAAGCAUUUGCCAAGGAUGUUUUCAUUAAUCAGGAACGAAAGUUAGGGGAUCGAAGACGAUCAGAUACCGUCGUAGUCUUAACCAUAAACUAUGCCGACUAGGGAUCGGACGGUGUUAUUCAUGACCCGUUCGGCACCUUACGAGAAAUCAAAGUGCUUGGGCUCCAGGGGGAGUAUGGUCGCAAGGCUGAAACUUAAAGAAAUUGACGGAAGGGCACCACCAGGGGUGGAGCCUGCGGCUUAAUUUGACUCAACACGGGGAAACUCACCAGGUCCAGACACAAUAAGGAUUGACAGAUUGAGAGCUCUUUCUUGAUUUUGUGGGUGGUGGUGCAUGGCCGUUCUUAGUUGGUGGGGUGACUUGUCUGCUUAAUUGCGAUAACGAACGAGACCUUAACCUGCUAAAUAGCCCGCAUUGCUCCGGCAGUGCGCUGGCUUCUUAGAGGGACUUUCGGCUCAAGCCGAAGGAAGUUUGAAGCAUUAACA
rnacentral:rRNA from 1 species